rnacentral:rRNA from 1 species
AGCGAACGCUGGCGGCAGGCCUAACACAUGCAAGUCGAACGGUAACGCGGGGCAACCUGGCGACGAGUGGCGAACGGGUGAGUAAUGCAUCGGAACGUGCCCAGUAGUGGGGGAUAGCCCGGCGAAAGCCGGAUUAAUACCGCAUACGACCUACGGGGGAAAGGGGGGGAUCGCAAGACCUCUCGCUAUUGGAGCGGCCGAUGUCAGAUUAGGUAGUUGGUGGGGUAAAGGCCUACCAAGACGACGAUCUGUAGCUGGUCUGAGAGGACGACCAGCCACACUGGGACUGAGACACGGCCCAGACUCCUACGGGAGGCAGCAGUGGGGAAUUUUGGACAAGGGGCGCAAGCCUGAUCCAGCCAUGCCGCGUGCGGGAAGAAGGCCUUCGGGUUGUAAACCGCUUUUGUCAGGGAAGAAAUCUUCUGGGUUAAUACCUCGGGAGGAUGACGGUACCUGAAGAAUAAGCACCGGCUAACUACGUGCCAGCCGCCGCCGUAAAAC